CAUUUAGCCAAAGCCUGACUGU
rnacentral:miRNA from 1 species